rnacentral:rRNA from 1 species
UACAGAGGUCCCAAGCGUUGUUCGGAUUCAUUGGGCGUAAAGGGUGCGUAGCGGUGCCGUAAGUCGGAUGUGAAAUCUCGGGGCUCAACCCUGAAACUGCAUUCGAUACUGCGGUGCUAGAGGACUCUAGAGGAAACUGGAAUUCACGGUGUAGCAGUGAAAUGCGUAGAUAUCGUGAGGAAGACCAGUGGCGAAGGCGGGUUUCUGGAGAGUUCCUGACGCUGAGGCACGAAGGCCAGGGGAGCAAACGGG